CCUACGGGAGGCAGCAGUGGGGAAUCUUGGUCAAUGGGCGCAAGCCUGAACCAGCCACGCCGCGUGAGUGAUGAAGGCCUUCGGGUUGUAAAGCUCUGUGGGGAGGGAAGAAACCGUUCUGGAAGAAACGCCAGGGCCUUGACGGUACCUCCUUAGCAAGCACCGGCUAACUCUGUGCCAGCAGCCGCGGUAAUACAGAGGGUGCGAACGUUGCUCGGAAUUACUGGGCGUAAAGCGCGUGUAGGCGGGCUAGCAAGUCAGAUGUGAAAUCCCCGGGCUCAACCCGGGAACUGCAUCUGAAACUGCUGGCCUUGAGUGCCGGAGAGGGUAGCGGAAUUCCUGGUGUAGAGGUGAAAUUCGUAGAUAUCAGGAGGAACAUCAGUGGCGAAGGCGGCUACCUGGACGGCAACUGACGCUGAGACGCGAAAGCGUGGGGAGCAAACAGGAUUAGAUACCCCUGUAGUC
rnacentral:rRNA from 1 species